rnacentral:rRNA from 1 species
AACGAACGCUGGCGGCAUGCCUAACACAUGCAAGUCGAACGAGACCUUCGGGUCUAGUGGCGCACGGGUGCGUAACGCGUGGGAACCUGCCCUUAGGUUCGGAAUAACUCCCCGAAAGGGGAGCUAAUACCGGAUAAUGUCUUCGGACCAAAGAUUUAUCGCCUUUGGAUGGGCCCGCGUUGGAUUAGCUAGUUGGUAGGGUAAAAGCCUACCAAGGCGACGAUCCAUAGCUGGUCUGAGAGGAUGAUCAGCCACACUGGGACUGAGACACGGCCCAGACUCCUACGGGAGGCAGCAGUGGGGAAUAUUGGACAAUGGGCGAAAGCCUGAUCCAGCAAUGCCGCGUGAGUGAUGAAGGCCUUAGGGUUGUAAAGCUCUUUUACCCGGGAUGAUAAUGACAGUACCGGGAGAAUAAGCUCCGGCUAACUCCGU